rnacentral:rRNA from 1 species
UACAGAGGUCUCAAGCGUUGUUCGGAUUCAUUGGGCGUAAAGGGUGCGUAGGCGGCGCGGUAAGUCGGGUGUGAAAUCUCGGGGCUUAACUCCGAAACUGCAUUCGAUACUGCCGUGCUUGAGGACUGGAGAGGAGACUGGAAUUCCUGGUGUAGCGGUGAAAAUGCGCGAUAUCAGGAGGAACACCGGUGGCGAAGGCGGGGUCUCUGGGCCGAUACUGACGCUGGAGGAGCGAAAAGCGUGGGGAGCGAACAGG